UAACUUCGUCUGUAACUUGUCGGUGAUGUGUUCUAUUCCGUGUACAUGUUGGAUAACCUUGAGAUUUUUCAUCAACUUACAGUCUGAUCUGAUGAAACGUGAAGGUCGUGCAGCCGACAGUCAACUAUUUUGUUCAAAUUCAUUCUAUUCUACUGAAUGUGCCAUCGAAAUUAUACUGGAUUCAUCUUAAUUAUUGGCUUUUUCUAUUGGACUUAAUAGAUCACCAACCCCAGAAUGGACCAUUCUCUCAUUCCAUUUUCUAGAGAGCCUUGGAUAACUGAUUGAUUUAUUUCAUGUAUAAGUUUACUUAUCAUGUUACUGAACUCUCUUCGUUCAAAAAGGACAAGGACUAUACAGUUAACAAGAUUCCUUGUUUGCUAACCGUUGUCGGCCACCCAUGAAUCUCCCUGUUUCUCAACAACCAAAAAAGAGCCAUUUAGGUAAUGACCGAGAAGAUGCGGCAUACAUUAACCACCUAUCACCACGCUACUGCAAUACUUCAUGACACUUUCUUUAGCAUCAGGAAAUUUGUCUCAACAUGUGGAGUAAUGCUGUUGGUUGCUUUGAAUUCCAUUUUUACGGUUUUGUCAUCAUGAACUUUUCAGUUUGCUUCUUAGAAAAGAGCACACAGUUUCUUUGUGGAAUCGUGUGGUCCUGGCACGAAUAUUCUUGAGCCAGCGCUGGCUUUUGUCCAUGACCAACGUUCUGCUCCAUCCUUAUCCUCCGGACGUAAGCUCAUUCAGCUUCUGCUUCAUCGCUUCGUACACAAAAAUACAACUUGUCUUACUUCACUGACGAGUUGGAACACUUCAGUGGUCGCUUCCGUGCCGCUGUUACACACCUGCAGUCACUCACCAGGCCCAUGCCCAGGUAAUGCAGAGGAAACGUAGAGAAGAUGGACACUAAAACAUCUCCGUUAUCUCCAAAAUGUCUGCGCGGAUCAUCAUUUGUUGUUGGUAAUAUUUGUGUUUGUGUUAGUUAACCCGUUGUCUGCCACGCUCUUGU